UUGGGAUAACUUCAGGAAGCUGGGGCUAAUACCGGAUAGGAGCUCCUGCUGCAUGGUGGGGGUUGGAAAGUUUCGGCGGUUGGGGAUGGACUCGCGGCUUAUCAGCUUGUUGGUGGGGUAGUGGCUUACCAAGGCUUUGACGGGUAGCCGGCCUGAGAGGGUGACCGGCCACAUUGGGACUGAGAUACGGCCCAG
rnacentral:rRNA from 1 species